CGGGCGCGGUGCCGCGGAGCGGCCGCGCGGUGAGGGGUGCGGGGGGGUCUGACGGGGAAACAAAGGGGAACAAAGCGACGGCGGCCGCGGCUGUGCCGGGCUCUUCCCUGGCGAAGGGUGGGGAUCGCCCUCAAAUUAACGGCGGUGUUGGGAAGGAGGUGGUUUUCGGGUCUGAAAGCGGAAGGGAUCGGGGUUGCGUUGCGCCAUUCGGUUUGCUGCAGGCCGGUAUCAAUCACAGCAAAAUCAGCUCUAAAAAUCGUGUGUGUGGCGGGGGGAGGGGGGGGGGGAGAUGCGGGGGACCCUUUGUCGGCGGAACGCGGCGCAGAUCGGUGCGGGGCGGCGCGGAGGGCCGCGGCCCGGACGGCCCCGUCGGUGUGCGGGGCCUCCGCCGUGCCCCGUGCGGGGCCCGCGCCGUCCCCGCGCCGAGAACGGAGCUCCGGCAGCGCCGGGACCGGGGGGAGCCGCUCCGAGCGGUUCUGGAGUUUUAAACGCGGUUCUGCGGGGUGCGAGCGAGGAGCGUUGGGGUUAAUCAUUCCCACUUAAAAAAAAAGAAAGAAAGAAAGAAAGAGAGAAAAUUAGCCACAAGCGGCGCGUUUGGUAAUUAAAGCGAUUCGCGUGAAAGAAUAAUGUUUGUUAAGCGAGGUGGUCGGCGCGGCUCCGCGUGUGUGCGGUGUGCGGCCACUUCGCUCCUUGGGCUUUUCGGAAAGGCGGCCGUACGCGCUGCACGCGGAGCGACGGUCCCCCGUCGGUCCCCCGCCUCGGCCGCGCUCCGUGCCGUGCCCCGGGGGUGGGCGAGGGGGGCAGCAGCAGGAGGGGGGGGCACUUAUUCCCAGCUCACUCCUUCACAUCGGCUUCGCUACGUCCAGAAAACGACACUUAAAACAACAAAAAAGGAACUCUUCUUCGUUUUUCUCCCUCAAAUAAUUCCCCGUAUGCAGACACGGAGCUUUUGCUCGCGAACCUAUUGUUCGGCUACGAGCUACAGUUUGCAGUGAUCUGUAUUUGGCGACGAUAGCUAUUCUGUUGCGAUAUCUGUGUCGUUACAGCGCUGCGGUCGGGGCUCUCCCCUCACCGUUCGGGAGCUCCCCGUGGGGCGGUGCAUCCCGAGCCGGGGCUGCGCCGCGCCGCUUUGCCGCACUUCCGUCCCCCCGCGUUAUUUGUCGGUGGCAUUUCUGGGAGGACCGCUCUCUCGGCGCUCCCUCCGCUGCCGCCGCCGCUCCGUCGGCCGCUCGGAGCCGUUACGGGACCGUUCCCGGAGAGCGGAGGGGAGCGCCGCGAAUUCACGCGCCGGGGGUGGAACGGCAACGGCGGAACGCGACGAACGGGCGUUACUACCGGCUCCGGCCGUUGUUACGGGAAAAGCUGCGAUAAAACUCCGGCGGGGGCUUUUCUCGACGGGGUCCCGCUCAACUUUUCCCGAGAAGUCGACGUCGUUUAAAAGAGGCGCUGAAGGUCUGAGGCGGCGACGGGACCGCGGCGUUCCGUCGCGGAGCGGAGCGGUGCGGGGCCGCUCGGGGGGACCCCCCGGGAGGGGCGGGGGUCCGGUGGGACCUCGGGCUCCGCUCCUCGCAGCCCCCCCACCCCCAUCCCGCCUCGGGGUGAGGCUCCCUCCCGGUCACAGGGAAGAGAAAACCAUUCGGUGGUGGAAGAAAAGGCGAUUAAAUUAAAUUACUUUGGGGAUUACGGGCCACAUGCGGUGUAUUAAAGUGCUUUAAGCUACUUUGUAGCUUCUUUGGCAUUAGGGCGUUUAAUACGGGCUCGGUCGGUCUGCCCGGGAGCUUUGCUGGACGAGAAGGAGCGGGGUGGGAGGGAGACGGGACGCAGGGGAAAAGGAGACGGGAGCAGCACAGGGAGCUCGGGUCUGAGAGCUUUGCUUUGCUCCAUGUAGACCAGAUCCGGCUUUAAUUCGCCGUGCUAUAAACAAUAAUUUUUCUAAUCGGGGCCACCGAUACGAAAGGAGAACGCCCGUCUGUAGGCAGGGAUCUGAAAUGGGUAAUGCCGCCCGGGCAGCGUGCUUUGUAUGUUGCCCAUGGGGCGCGGGGACAGCCGCUGCCAGCGCCCGGCGUGCAGUGCCCGGCCGGGACGAGGGCACAAACGUCGGAGGUUUGAGGCUGAGGAAGGGGAAAGCCGAUUCCUUUCCCAGAUCCUUCCCCCCGGGAGUGAGCGCUUCGGUCGGGCAGCGCUUCGGCCGUAGGCAGAUGUGUGAGACGGAGGUUCGGAUCCGCAGGGAGAGCGGCAGCAGCGUGGGGAGCUCCUGGAAUCACGGAGCGUGUGUCGCAUUUCUCACUCGGUUCGGGAUGUACCCAGAGAGAGGGGGGGGGGGGGGGGGGGAGAAGGACGAGACGAGGGGAUUCCUCGCUUGUUUUUCCUUAAGGCAAAUAUCUGUUCCGUGGUCGAGGGAAGAGGCGGCAGCGUUUUUGCAGUGGUGCGAAGUGUGCCUGUUGCUAGAAAUGCUUCUCACUUUGUUCCUGAAAAGUGUGCCAGAUGCACUGGUGUGCUCGCACUGCUUUAUUUAUGUAAUGCGACGGGGGGGGGGGGGGGGGGGGUUGGGUGUGCUCUGUCCCUCGUGCAGCCGAUUUGGCUAAAUUUGCUGUGCUGGACUGCAAGGGCUACGUGCUCCUUUAUCCCACUGGCAGAACGGAGGGGCCUCUCCUUGCUGCUGCAUCCCUGCUCCUCGGGGAUGCUGCUCGGAAAGCCCAUCGCCCACAGCGUGCCCUGUGUUCAGCUCAGCCCCAGUUAGCCAAAGGGCUGGCGGCUUCGCGUCCCACGCUGAGGGAUGAACCGUGUGCUGCUGGGCUCAUCCGGGUUGCAGCAGGAGCUCCCUGCUCUGCUACAGCCCAGGCACAGGGAUGGGAGCAUGGAGCCCUCGCUGCGAGCAGAUGAGUGUGAGUUAAUGGGGUACAGCCCACGGGCAGGGUCAGGUUUGCUUCUGCCACAAAGAGUUCCUAAAACAUAAUAAAUAGAGCCGAGAGAAAACAAACCUUUCCCUAAGUGGGACCGCGCUGCUCUGCCCAGCUGCCCGAGGAACUGAAUGUUUUGAUGAAAUCCAUGAUGAUGUAUACAGAACAAUUUUACUCUUAACCAGCUGCCACCUUCUUUCCUGCCGUGCUGAUCUAUUCGGACCCAAACACUUUCUCUUCCUUAAGAGCAUAGAUUUGCUCGAGGAGAAUCACCGAAAACAGGGUGAAUAAUUCCUAUGAAUCAGCGCCGUCCUGAGAGAAAGCAGCACUCGUAAUCGGAAAGCAAAGCGUCCGGAGGCAGCGCUGGGAGGGCUGCAGUGCUGUCCUGCUGGCUUCCCCUCGAAGGGCUGCUCAGCCCCCCUGCCCUCUCCAUAGGCACAGCACGAGGCAGACACACAGCUCGGCCCCCGGGAAGGGGCGUCGGGACCCUUUGCCCCCUCCUCCGUAGAAACUGCUGGUGGCGCACAGAGGCCUCUGCCGCACCGGGUGAGGUUCACACCACUCUCAGGAGCUUUAAUUAGAGCCGCGCUGCACGCACUGCUUUCAUAGCUUCUCCUGUUUAUUAUUUAUGAUUUAAAGCACAGACGAAACAACGGGAGAAUAUAUUUUUUGGCUUCGCUUGCUAAGGAAAAACGGCACGUGGUGGCACGGGGCAAUAAACAUUACAAAUAAAUAAGUAAGAGGAUUUCCACGGCAGUGCCCACCUGGUGCCGGGUGGGGUUGCAUUGCGCGCAGAGCCCCAUCUGCUGGGUCAGUGCCAUCCCAUGGGGGUGCCGCGUCCCUGCCUGGGGUGGGGGAAACACCGCCCAGAGGUACGAGGGGUUUACGGGCAGAUGCCGGUGCUCCGACGACGUUUUCUUCCCUGUUAGUCCUCCCUUUCGUCAGCACGGCGGAAAAAGAGACCGCUGCGAGCCCCACGUUGACGGCGGUCAUUUAAACCGCUGCUGGGAGGGCGCGAUGGACUGCAGCGUUCGGGCUGCAGCGCGCGGCGCCGCGGCUGUGCCGUUUGUUGAGCUUAUUUCCCGGCCGAGAGGCGCGCGCCCGGCCGCACACCUCCGGCUCUGCUGCUCACAGCGGCGCUCUUUGAAGUUCGGGUGUUCGUCGGCGCGCGCAUCCCCGGCUCUGCUUCCUAAAGCCCACCGAGACGGCGGCCGGGAGGAGUGCUGCGCAGCGCUGCGUUCUCCUCCCGGCCGCCGCCGGGAACAACGCGGCCGCUCCGAGCGAGGAGCGCGGGACGGGACGGGAACGGUGCCUGAGCUGUGAGGGGCAGCCCGGGCUGUGCGGCUGCCUUCCCCCUGCGGGCAGGCGGCGAUCCGGGGUGCUCUGCGCUCUCGGUAGGGGCAGCCCAGAAACCGAGAGGGAAAAUUCAAAUAGGUGAGGCUGUGGAUGUGUUUGACGGAGAGGGUUCGGAGCGCAAAGUGAAACGGGGAUGCAGCAGAAAUUGGGUUACGUGGCUCUGAGUAAGUGCUCUCCCGUCAGAGCGGGAUUUAUUUCACAUCGCUGCUCUAGUUCUCGGCCUGAGGGUGUUUAACUCACCCGGAGCUGUUUGGCCUCCAGGAUGGAUUCCUGCAAUUACGUGUUUAUGAUUGCGAGCGCUGCCUGGGAAGCAGCAGGAGGAUAUCAUUUGGGGAGUGCUGGGAGGCACGGAGGGAGCUGGAGAGCCUUCUCCUGGGCUUCAGCCACUGCUACACUUCGGAGGGAGGCUGCAGCGCACUCCGGGCCUGACGUGCUGCUGCACUUAGCAGCUUGAAUAACAGGGCGUCAGAUAGGUAUUACUGCAUCGCCGUGACUUUAAACUCCUUCCUCGUAGUGACAACGUGCAGCUCGGGGCUGUGCGCGGUGCUCACCUCAGGCGUGUUUUCAGACCGCUCACAGCAGGCAGUGAACACGGCCUGCCCGAGGUUCCGUGGCUGCGGGCCUGCAGGGCUGGGCACGGCCUCCCACGGCCCCACACAUCUCACAACCUCAGUGACCUGCCCAGCGCCUGCCUGCUGCCCCACGGAUGCUCGGGACGCCUCGGUCACACACUGUGGUGCACAGCGUGGGGAUGCCCGGCUGUGGGAGCCCCGGCUGGGACCAGCCAUGACCGAGGCCGGACCGCGGGCAUCUAUCGCAGCCAUCUGCCUGCAGCCCCACGCCAGAUGUGGCUCGAAGUCCUCAGAUGCCCUCUGCUGCCACGGACCAGAAUUAACAGAUGGCUCCGUGUAACCGGGUUUAGAUUUGCUGAAGUUUGCUAUUAUCUCCGCUUUUGUAAAUGGAUGGGGGCGGGGAAAUAAUAUCUGGGAUUAUUACAAAACAGGCAGAGCUUUUCAAAAAGUGUUAAGUCUGGGGCUGGGUCCCUUCUGACUCUGAAUGCCAUUGUCCCACAUUUCAAAAUGUUAACUCUAUUUUUAGCUUUCUCUUCAGAGCUCCCUCCCCUGAUAGCUUAUCCCUCUCGGCAUGAGUUUGGCCCAGCGAGCCGCCCAGGGCACGGCACACUUUGCCCCAGCAUUUUGAGCCCCAUUGUGCCUGAUGGAACCAACUCUGGUGCUGUGGCCGGGCUCUGCUCAGGGCAGGCACUGAGGGACGCAUUCAGCUGCCCGAUGUCCCUCAGCGUCACACAGGCCAGCAUGCAGGGGUCUGUGUCUGAAAUGGAAUGGGUGGCACCGAUGUCCCACACACAUGCCUGUGUCAGGGCAGGUCUGUGUGCAGGGAUACACACAGCAGGCCUGGAACACAACAGAUCCUGGAGGGGAUCCCUUGGCAAGCUCCGGGAAUUGAGCAGCUUUGCCGUGCCUGAGCUUUUGCUGUGCCUGAACUUUUGCUGUUUCUCACAGCAGUUCCUAUGAGUAAAAGCCAACCGAGCCUCCCCACUUAUGCUCCCAGCUUGGUUCCUAAUGGAGGGGACCAGGGUAGGUUGUGUCCCCUCUCUGUACAGUGCCAAAGCCACCUCAUGUCCUGGGGCCAGCUGCUCACUGGGAUGGGAUGGGAUGGGAUGGGAUGGGAUGAGCUUCCCCAGCCAUCCUCCAUUUUUAGCCACACAGUUCUAUGCUGCUUGCACUGUUCUAAAGCUUGCUUUCUUUUCUUUCUUCUUUUUUAUUUCUCUUCUAGAACAUAAUCUUGAAUUUACAGAAGUCCGUGGCAAAAUCUGGUUGUGAAUGGGGGCUUUGUUCUGCGAGACUAUUUCUGAAGACUCCUGGCUCUCUGUCUGCCUUUGUGUACAAGGCUGACACACGGGCCCAUCCACCCGCGCUGUGCCCAGCAGCACACCCUCUCUUUCCAGCUGCCCUCUUGCAGGGAUGCACACAGCUCUCCGGUGGGUGGGCUGUAUCCCAUCACCGUGGCAAACCUGUGGGGCUGUGAUAGUUUAUAAAACCUGACAGCAUGGUCCAUUGCAUGUACUUUUUCUAAAUCCAUAUUUUUCCAAUUUUUUUUUUUUUCCUGUAGUGGCAAGUUUUUUUUCUGUCCAUCUGGGAGCAGAAUCCUGUGCUCAGCGUAUGUAAAUAACAGCUGUUUCCACUCAAUUGCAUUUAUGUACUUAACACUUCAAAAUAGACUUUUUUCUAGAAGUUUCACAAUCUAGUCACCAUCCGUGCUUAGACUGAGGUACUGGGGGAGAGAUUAAUGAAACCCCUCCGGAGUGGCUGACAAAAGUAUACAGCUGUAGCUCUGGAAUCCCUGCACAGGAUGGAUCGCUGAUGCUGACGGCCGUGCUUCAAUGCACUGUGAAGGCAACUUCACUCCUUAGGCACCCUCAGCUCUGGCUUCUGGGGCUGCUGAGGGGGUAGCAGGAUGCCAGGUGAGGAGAGGAGCUGUUCUGAACUGGUAGUGCCUUCCUAGCAAAGUUAAUUUGUCAUGCAGAGCAGCUGAACAGGGGAAACAAUGGCAAGUUAUUUACAGGGAAAAGCUCAUCCGCCAGUGUCGCAGAUUUUUGAAUGCAUUAACCUAUUGCAUUCUGAGAAGAAAGGCAGCUCUUUAAUGCUCUGGUAUGUCUUUUGUUGUAAUGCCACUAGCUCUGAAAUGAAAAUACAGCCUUUUGGUUUUAAAAUGCCUCGAUGAAGACUUCAAGAAAUUAAUGUCCAAUUAUUUUUUUUUUGUCCAGAAGCCUCAUUAUUUUCUCAAAUGCCUCAACCUGAGCUAUUUCAUUAGAGUUUUGGAUCCUCUGAAGGCUGAGGAUUACAGAACAUUGAUAUUUAGUUACCCAUUCAUUCAAUUUACUGCAAUGCAGGCCGCUGAAAGAGUUGUUUGUUCCUAAAUCCAGGCUGUUUUUUAUGUCACUGUCUUUUUUAUUUUGCUUAUCCAGAAGAAAAAUACUUUGAUGUUUACUGCUGUCUCAACUGGAACACCUGUGAACCGGGCAGGACCAUGCUGAGGACUCAAGCUGUGAGGAGAGAGCAAUAACGGUGUGGGAGCUGUUGCUCUCACACAUUCCGAUGUGCCUGUGCCAGAGUGUUUAUAGCAGAAGCAAAGAGGACCUGAGCUCGGGUUGUCUGUGAGAACAGCCACCUGCUCCCACAGGGCAUGUCUGUAUUUCUGGAUAAGAACAUUCCUGAUGCCAGGAGGACCGGCUUACAGCCUUGCCAACAUGGUUCCCCCUAGGGCUCCUCCUGCUUUCCCACCCCGCAGUGCUCCCCAGACUCUGGUGCCCUGCGGGUCCAAUGUGGAAUGAUGCCUUUUUGUGUCUCUUUCAGUUCAGAGUGCCUGAAAUGAGGUGAGACCGCUCUGCAGCCUCCAAGAAUGGUGCUUCCCUAGUGUGAAUGGGAGGUACAUGUGUGUUUUGGAGCAUGCUAAUGUCUGAGGGUGUGCGGCCAUCUUGGGUUGCUCUGGGCAGAGGCACAACAAGGCCCGGCCUCUGGCGCAGGCCCUGCACUGCUAGGGGGGCCAGCUGGGAGAGGGCUGAGGGGAACAUGGUGAGGCAGUGUGGGCGCUCAGCAGCCCCAAGCUUGAGCUUGGUGACCAGGCUCAGAGGGGUCAGCCCGUCGGCCUGCUGAUGGGCCCAGCUGGCCGGGCACAACCAGCACUCUGCAGGUGGUGUGCUUCACUCUUAGGAAAGCACAGGGAUUCUCAGGGGUCAUUUCCUCAUGUCACAAGUUAAAGCCUGAGCAGUGUUGAAGCAAAACAGUCAGAAGUUUGAGGGCCAGGACCAGCCAAGCAGCGUGGGGGUACUCACCACUGUUGCCUGCCUCAGGGUUGCCCACACCCUCCCUCCUUCACAGGCUGUGCCCCAGCCACGGUCACCGUGUCACCUUUCAGCCACACCAGUGGCUUCAUUGGGCUCAUUUCAAGUCUUUUUCUUCUUAAACAAUAUACAAUAUAAUAUAAUAAUAUACAAUAUAAACAAUACAGCUGUAUAAAGUCAAUGAAUUGUAACCCACAUGGUCAAUGUGACACAUGGAGUGUUUGUUGCAGUAGGUUUGAACAUACAAAUACACACUCUAGAAAGAGAAGUGUUAGGCCAUUUUUCUUAUUCUCCCUGUUAUGGCGAACACUUGGCACUGUGUGUGCCCUCCUUCUCAAUCAGAAAUCCUUUCUCUUAAUCAGUUCCUAAAAUCCAUAGAACUCGUUGCCAUCCUUGGUUUCUCCAUCACUAAAUACAAGAUUUUAACUGCAUAAAAAAUGGGAUGGGAGCGAGGCAGUUUGACAAAGAUGUAAGGUACUCAUGGAAAACAACAAGCGAAUCCUGACCUAAAAGUGGGGACGUGGUUUAGUGAUGCAAUAUUGGUGGUAGCGGGAUGGUUGGACUGGAUGGUCUGGGAGGUCUUUUCCGACCUUGGUGAUUCUAUGACUCUAAGUCAGGAUUAAAAAAUACAGAAUAACCAAAAAAUUAAGAGGGAAUGUGAACUUUUAGAUUACCAUAAACUAAUGUAAACAAACAGUUAGACCUUUUUCCCUGGAAUUACUUUAUUGACUGGAAGCCUCAGAGCACCUUAACGAAAGCAGAAGCAGAGAGAAAGUCCGCAGCACAGCCAUUUUGUUAUUUGUCGUGUUCGUCUUCUGUAGCUACCUGGAGGUAACAGAUAGAACCAUGGGCUCAUCAGAAGAGGGACUACAGAGAUGCAUAAAAUAAGCAACUCUUGUUUAUUUGGAAUAAAUAAAAUGAAAGAAAAAAAAUUAAGAGCUUCGCUACUAACUUUUAAUAUUUUUAGUAUUUAGAUAAUUAAACAAAAGGAGGUGAGAGAUUAAAAUCCUAUGCACAGUCGUUAAGCAUGUGCAUUACUGCAUACAGAGAACAAAAACCAGGAAGUUAGAAAGCUGUUGCAGUGAAGGCAAAACACAUUGCUUCAUUUGCUCAGCAAGAGAAAACUGCUUAGUCUUUAAAAUAUUUUGCUGACUUUCUCAUCUCCUCAUUCAGGACUUCUGUAUAUGGACUACAUGCUACUAAAGGUUAGCAGGAACAGCAAAAAAAAAAGGUUUCACCUUUAAGCAGAGUACUUCUGUAUUUCUGUCUCUGCUCUCAAACUGUUGCCCUACCCUCCCAACUCAACCAACCAAAAAAUAAUUCCCAAACACAAUAAAACUACUUUUAUUUGCUAUGAUAUGGGCAUCUAAAUCUCCACCGCCCUUCAAAGAAGAGAGAGAAGCACCUCCAGAAAACAACGUGUGGCUUAUUCUAGGUAUUUUUUUUUUAAAUGGGAUUUACUGCCUCAUUGAGGUACUUUGUAUGUGUGUCCAUUGACUAUACAGUGAGUCUACGACAGUUAACUCAGGUUUAGAUGUCUAAUUAGUAGUUGUCCCAACAUUAAGAAACAAGUCUAGCUCUUAUAAAUUGUAGGUACACAAUUAGUCUGAACUUUAUUCUAGUGAAAAGUGGGCUCUGAGUCAAUUUAUUCUCCAGUAGUAUUGAAGCAAAACACGCGUCCUCCAUAACAGAAGAGGGAUGCAGCCUGCACAGUCUAUGUCUGCUUGACCAUAUAACCUUGUACUGUUUUUCAGGAUAGAACGAGCAUGUGGGCAAUUGUAACAACGCACCACGAAAACUGGAAUAACUGAGAAAGGCAGCGUCGACAUCAAACAUAAAUUACUAUUAUGAUACACUAUAAAGCUGCAGCAGAGAUGUAGUGGUGGCACAGCAGAAGCUGGAGAUGUCAGGUGAAAUCCAGGCCCUCCCAACAGCCAGCUUUUCCAUGGGGCUGAAUAGCUGCAUAGGGCUGGGGGGAUGGGGUGGCUCACCACUCCCUCCAUUCUUGUCUCGAGGAACUGGAGCAUACAGACACGAAACUCGAAACUCGUCAAAUGGGCACAUUUGGCAGUGCUGUACUACUGACUCAAUUUUUCAAAGCCACAAGGGUUGGGUGCUUUUUGCUGUUGUUUAGUAAGUAUGAAGAAAGAUACAUCUCUGAUAGACUAGAAAAGUCAAACAGUUCAAAGCAAACAAGAAAGUGCUAGAAAAGAACCUUUGACCCUUUGAAUCCAAGCACUUUCAGACCUUCCAGGAAAUAUCUUAUUCUUCAGUACUUGCAAAUUUAAUUAAACAACAGCUGGUGCAUGUCGCUCAUAGUGUUAAGUCCCACGAUUCAGCUAUAUGAUCUACGGCUUCGGACAAACCCAGUAGAGCCACUGUGCAAGACUGCCUCCCGGUGGUGGUACCACGAACCUGCAGAAUGACAGAAUUUGCACACAGAAAAGGCAAAAAACCCAUUCCAAAAGAAGGCUUCCUUUUUGAAUUCAGGUCUAGGUAGAGUAAGGGAAAAAUUUCAGUGAGGUUUUAAUGGCUUGAAUUGAGGACAAACCUUUUGAUAUGUGACUGAAGCAGAGCUUCUAGUGGAAUAGCGUACUAACAAGGAAAGCUCAGAGAGACUUUCAGUACAACAUUAAAAUAAGUUAAAAAUCAGCAAGAUGUACUCAAUUGCACACUGUCCGCAGCAAUGAGCCUCCUGAAGUCUGAAACAAUACCUAUUAAGCACAAGGCAGAUGGCUGAGUGCCAUAACUUGGAUACAAAAACACUACAGCAGAUUUCCCAUUCUACCAAUUCUACGUAACCCAAAUUUUCAGUUACAAAGUUAGCACAAGUGAAAAAAAAGACAACAGAAAGCCCCAAACUGCCUUUCAAAUUGAUUGUUCUUUUAGGCAAAAGCAGGAAAAGACUCCAGCAGAUGGAUUUCCAAUUCCAAUUCUUCAAGUAAAGAGAAACACACAGUUAAAGACAGCUUUAUGUAGCUGUUCAAGAUGAUGAAAGCCAAGAGGACAGCUUGAAAUUACUGUGGGAAUAGGAGUUUAGUUGGGUCACGCUUCAGAUGACCCAGACGAAAGAUUUAGUAUAAGAAAACAGAAAUAUUGGCAGCGCAGUGCAGGGAAAGAUUUUAAAACACCCAUUUUAUGGAUUCACGUAACAACAAAUUGGCAGAGGGUACGCGCAGUGAGCGCGUCUCAGACUCGCUCAGUUCCCAGUAACUGCUCAGAAGAGGAAGCACUUUAAAUCAGCUAGCAGUCCCACACAUAGCAGAUGUGUAGUCCUCCAAAUACCUGAGGAGUGUUCAAAAACACGAGGGAGAAAAUGAGAAAUGUAACAACAUUUCUGCAGUGACUGCGGGUGAUAAAUUGUCAGGUUUGACAGGAAAGAACAGACAAAUGUAGUAAUACUGUGCUAACAAAAGGCUUCUGCAGAAGAAAGUGUCUUAACAGCAUUAUGCAGGCAUAAGCAAGAAUGUGUUUGUGGGGGGGAUAAAUACUUGAAAGCUGAACCCAAGAAAGAACAUCUUUUCUUAAAUCGGAAUGAAAUCAGGCAGGGACAAAUUAGGUCUCAGCUUCCCAAAAAGAAUGGUGGUUCAGUUUUACAUGGUGGAUUGUAACAAAGGGGUGAGCGUGAGAUGUAACCUUCUCACAUACGGACCUGUGUCAGUAACAGUAACGCCAUAAACCCAUGCACAUACUAACAUUUGCUAUGCCACCAAUUACUAAAAACCCUUCAAAAAUGUGAUACUGUAAGCAGAAGAAUAACUACUUUUGUUCAACCGAAUGUGCAGAGUAAGCAGAUGUCCUUCCCAUGAACACAACAAACAUUCCUUCAUGACAGUAUGUUGUCAUGUGAGCAACGCAUUGUGUCACACAAAGCCAGAAUCACUGUGCUGAUGUAGGAUUACACACGGCAUCAGAUUAACAUAGAAGCAUAGCAGAGAGGAGCAGAACUAUUCCAUGCUAUCCCAGAACAAAUCAUUUUGGGCUAACUGGUAUUACAUGUUAAAAGUAACAGCCAAAUACUUAAGACUAGCUUGACGCAUCUGACAUUAACUUCACACAAUGAAAGCACUCAAGGAAAACAAGUUAUUAAGAAUUCUAGAAAAAAGCAGGUGUACUUCACACUACAGUGUGUGAAUUAGAGACUUUACACAGUACUCAUCUUCUGGCAAAACACAUGGAUAACACAAGCAGGCAAAAUGACACUAGAUGAAUGCAAGAAACAAGUACCUUCCUGUCUUAUCCAAGUUGCCUUGGACAGAAAGUGUGAUGACAGUAUUUUAUUAGCAGAAAUAUUUAAGCACUGCAAGGUGCUGAAGCUAUGAAGCAGAUUAAAACCACGUUUCUUGAAUUUAAAGCAUUUGAAGGACCAGUCCUUUCCCCUUGGUAAGCUGGAAAGAGUAGGUAUCUUCACUGAAUCAUUACUGGGCUAAAGCAAGGAACUAUUCCUCCCCUGAGCUACACCUGUUUAAUUUAUAUACAAACAUACACAGCAUCCUCACCAAACAAUAGUUAGGGUGAAUUUAAAAUUAAAAACAACAAAACCAUACACAAAUAUCUCAAAUAUUUGGGAAUACCGAAUGAUUAAAGGGCGAGGGAUGCCCUGGAAGCUGAAGUUUAACCAAGUUGCCCAGCUUCCAGUGUAAGAAAAGAGCCUUAAAUUCUUUAAACCUCAGUAUUCAAAGCUCAUCUGCACUUCAAGUAUUAGAUUUCUAAAAUAAGAAACCACAGCACGUCCAGUUCUUGAACUCCCACUCUGAAAUACUGCUUCUAUGCACUCACUUUACGAUAAGCCUCUGACCUACUUUAAUCAGAGCACUCCAUCAUCUGUUACAUGCAGAUCUGAGACCGGCACAUUCUCUGACCCUCCGCACACAGUAUUCUUCAGAGCCCUCACGUCAUCAGUGCACUUCUGUUGUUUUCCUAUUAUCAACUAAAUGAAAUGGGAAAAGUCAAAUUUAGUUAAGCAUGGUUUCGUUAAAACACACAUGCAGAACUGAUAAACGUUUCUGUAUUUUUUUUAUUUCAAAUAAAGGUCAAUGACAACGUGCUCACGAGCAACAAGUCAUCUUAAUCAUCUGUCUUUAGGAGGAUUAGGAUUCUUCCGUCUUCUCUGAUACCUAGGAGAUAAAAAAAAGCUGCUGUGAAUGCAAGUUUUGGAAAAAUCUUUGAUUUUCCUGACCUUCUUCCCUCCAGAAGCAGUUUGGAGACUACACACGUAAGCAAAAUAUAAGACAACACAAGCACAGUUUAUGACCAUUCAUUAGAUGUCAUCCCCGUUGUUCAUGAAGUUACAUAACACUACUCAUUUCUGCUGCUACAUCUGCUACAAGCACACAAUAAUCCAUUCAGCUGUAGAACUGAUUAGAUACAAAGGCUGCUGUUUACUCUUAAUCCUUUGUGUGAGGUUAACUUUAUUAUACAGUCAGGGCUUCCUCUGACCAAAAUGAUUGCUGCAGAGCAAUCAGGGGUACAAGAAGGAGUUAUGUCAGACUGUACUUUAAAUAGUGUCAUACUCUACAGCCAAAUAAUUAAAAAAAAAAAAAAGUCUUCACAACAAAGAAAGAUAAAUUGUGUCCCUGCUGUCUUAAUUAGCCACCCUUAAGCAAGGCAGAUACAGUACGAUACUCAUUAAGUGACAACUAUCCUCUGGCCAUAGGGAGCUCCACUAUUUCAUUUUCUUCGCUUGUUCUCAAAACAUAAUCAUUAAAAAGGUUUGCUGUGUAUCAAGUUUCCAGAGCUAUAAAAUUAGCAACUACCAUAACAUGUGAAAACUGUUAUGGUAGACUGGAGAAGAGUUGCAUAAACUACACUGCUAUUUGUUUCCAGUGGUGUACCUGAACACAGAGUCUCUCUUUAAGCUCAGUCACAUACGUUUGUAUCUCUUCUCCUUGUAGCAUUCUGAAGUACACCAAGGUACACUUUUCAUCAUUUCAAAUGAAUAACUUCUACUUUUUCUUAAGUCUGAGAAUUAUAUGGUUUCAAGCUGUAUUUGGCUACGUCCAUUGAGAGGGUGAUCUCACUUAUGCAGUUUUAGGAAAUCACCUGGACCAGCAGCUAAGGACACAGCAGGAGGAAUUUCUCCUCCAUGGUAUUUUACCAGCCAAGUUGCAAAGGCAAUGGAAGGGGCACAAUUUAAAAAAAUAAAUAAUACACAGUCUUCCAUUUACACGACACUGCAUUUAAAACUGUCUGUAGUAGCCCACGUGCCAGGAGUAUUUCAGAGGAUGAGUUUGGAUAAAUUACAAUCAUUCUUGUGUUUCUCUCUAUGCCCAAAAGGAAUAAACAUUGAAAAAAAAAAAAAAAGAAAACUUACUGUCCCAUAGGGUACCAUCGAUGUUUUGUAGUGUAAAACAUUUUGCUGAGCUCUUCAAUUGUAAGACCUCUAUCAUUCUUCAGCUUUUCUUCAUUCAAUCUGGAUUUCAAAACUUGAUCAAGAGUUUCCUCUUUGUUAUUCACUGGAUCUGGUCGUGGCACGGGCUAUGAAAAACAGCAACCUUUCUCUCACUUCAGCUAAAAGUCCUCCAUACAGCAGCAGCUAUAUUCAUCACUCACCUCACAGAUGUGCUGCUCAUGUAAGGAACUGUACCUCUGUAUUUCAAAUGGCAAGGAAAAACCAACAGUUGUCCUAAAGGCUCAGAACUACUUAUGCUUUUACACGACUAAGCAGAGCGUACAGUUGGACGUACUUUUGUGUGCUCGUAUGGAAUCUCAAGUGAAGGGUGGUAGCAGACAAUUGUCUUCGAAUCUGAUGUCAAGGCAAGUUCCACUUUGCUAUGAAAAUAAAAAGGGACAUUCUUACAAUCCCUUACAAUUUUCAGUAAUGCUCAGUGACUGAGCAGCCCAAUUCCCAAAGAAAACUUGAUUUCACCCUCUAUUUAUGAAUUCUUCAGAAAUCUAUAAAAUAAAACCUGAAAAAAUAAGGCUCACAAGUACUUGAUCUGAACUUCUUUCUUCUUCCCAGCUAUCUCGUGUUUCUUUCUUUCUUUUUUUAUGGAAGAGAACAAAGGGUUAAAAUGGAGAUCUACAGACAGCUGGAAAUACGGUUUGAAAAAGUCUUUAAGACACCGAGGAAUGACAUUAAAAGUAACAGCAGAUCAUGCACGUCAGCGAUAUGUAGGACAACGUGACCGUAUAAGAAGUGUGGCACCAAUAAGAGAAAGAAUAGGAAAUAAAGCCCCAGGGUUCCAACCUUUAUAUUUAACAAAUGCUGUUAAGCAUAAUAAACAAGAGGUUCUAUUGACAAGUUCCUUGAGGGAGUACGGCUUUUCUCACCUUAUUUCCCUACUAACUGCUGUGACACAUUAGCUUCCAAAAUACUUCUGCAGUGCAGAUGUUGCAUUUCUCAUUAUGCUUUUAUCAUCUUUUCCAGUUUCCACUGAAGUUUGCCACGCAGCAGCACAACAUUACCAGGGCUUUGUCUUAACAAUAAGCAUCGGUGAAAAUGAGUGCUCUUUCUUUUGCUCUUCCACAGUUAAAGAUGCAGUGGUACUGGGGUCAUCAUCAUGUUUAGAAUGAGUCAUGCAUGAUUUUUUAUUAUGCUCAUUUUUGAAACGUUAGCUUCACAAUCAUUAUGACUGGAAACAGUACUUCACUUUAAAUUAUUAUACACCUAUAUCCAAAAGUGGAAGAGAGUGUGUUUGAUACCAUCAGAUGACAACUUGAUGGCAGAGCCAGUAACCUGCAAUAUACAUCGCAUGAGAAGGCCACGCAAAGCACGUUAACAUACCAGUUGUAGUCUUCAGGGAGCACCGAGUAUGUUGAUUUAUGACAAGCAUGACAUACAGCUCCAACUGCGAGGGAAAAAAAAAUACAAACAAAUAUGAAGUACUGUCUAAAUAGAAGCUUACUUUAUCAUGAAGAUUCCUAGUGCUAUCAAAAAUGCAGUAUUUACGUAGCCAUGUCCUACUUUUAUAUUUCCAUUGUACUGUAUUCCUAAGAAAAAAAACAUAGCAUGAACAAAACACAAAUGUCACUGCUAUAUCUCUCUAAAUACAUUAGCAAAAUAGAUGUGUUUUGAGAUCAUAUAGCACUGAAAGGGCAAAGAACAUUAUCAUAUGAUCUACAGGGAAGAUUAUCUGAUCUUUUUCUUUAAUUCAUAGCAACAUUCCCUGUUAAACUGAAUUUGUACUUUGCCAAAGGGUGGUAUAUAUGCUAUGCAAAACUACAACGCCUUGCCUGCUCUACCACUACAGAACUCAAUUCCUUCCACAGGUUCCUGUUACUCCAAAGAAAGCAAUCACAAGUGAAAUCAGGAGCUCGGGUGGACCUAGGGUUUGAACAUAUAGGGGUUAAAUAAGCUAGCUUUGAAAACUAAGGAAGGAGAAUGACACCUCAACAUUUCAUGGUCAGCUGUGCAAACACAAAGUAAGGAACAAUACAAAAUGAAUGGCUUUGACCAGUUUGAAUGCACCAUAAAAAGGUCAGACUGAGGAAGACGUCGAGCCUCUGCGAGGAAGACUUCUGGCUUCAUCCUCACGACCACCAGAGGGAGGCCCCUACUACAGACAACUCAUGUGCCAGGGAAGGGGCAGCAUGUAAACGAAUUCCCAGAAGGAUAAUGAAUAAGUAGAUGGGUUCCAAGAAUUCUGCUGAACGUGUAUGGACUUGGCUUACAAAUUUGUAGAGUUUUUGCUUGCUGGUGCACAAGUUUGGUGCAGUGAUCCCCUUGCACCCGGCCGGCCAAAUAAACCAUACCUGCUUUAUAACCUAACCGGGUUAUAUAGAGUUUGAUUCCACACAUCACAAGAGUUACAAGUAGUAAAGGCCAACAGCACGCUGGACUAUACUAGCAAACAGACCAAGGGAAGAGAUUCUCCUCCUGUGCUCAGCACUCACUAGAUUACAUCUAGAUACCACGGCCACUUUGGGCCCCUUCAAUAAAAGUAAAAUGGAAUAAAUGCUGUGAAUGCCCACCACAAUGGCUAUACAUUGCAACAUCUGCCCUGUGAGGAGAGACUGAAGGACCAAGGCUGUUUUAGCCUUAAGCCACAGCCCUGGAGAGACCUAACAACAGAUCCCAGAGGUCAUAAAGCUUCCAGUGACUGAGCAGAGGGAGCCAGGCUGCUUAGAGCACUAGAGGACAAAAAACACUGAGUGAAACAAGAGAAGCUCUGACUUGACAGAGAAAGCUUUUCCCCUUGAAGAUAACCAGAGAACAGGGCUCAGGGAGGUUUGUGCUGUCUUUCACCUUGGCAGAUUUUAAAGGCCCAGCAGGACAAAGCCCUGAGCAUCCUGGUGACAACACAUAGCUAAGCCUAAUUUGAGCAGGUUUGGCUAGAAACCACCUGAGGACCCCUCCCAAAUGAACCUUCCCAUGAUUCCAUUGCCCUUUUUUAUCAGUA
rnacentral:lncRNA from 1 species